UCUCGAAUAGCUCAAUGGUAGAGCGAAUGGCUGUUAACCAUUCGGUUAUUGGUUCGAAUCCAAUUUCGAGAG
rnacentral:tRNA from 1 species